rnacentral:rRNA from 1 species
CGCGUAGGUGGUGAGGUAAGUCGGAUGUGAAAUCUCGGAGCUUAACUCCGAAACUGCAUUGGAAACUACCUUGCUUGAGGAUUGGAGGGGGGACUGGAAUUCUCGGUGUAGCAGUGAAAUGCGUAGAUAUCGAGAGGAACACCAGUGGCGAAGGCGAGUCCCUGGACAAUACCUGACACUGAGGCACGAAAGCUAGGGGAGCAAACA